GACAGAGGAGCCAAGCGUUGUCCGGAUUGACUGGGCGUAAAGGGCACGCAGGUGGUCGCGCAAGUGUGAUGUGAAAGCGGCUCGCUUAACGAGCCGAGGCCAUCGCCGACUGCGUAACUCGAGCGCGAGAGAGGUCCGUGGAAUUGCCGGUGUAGUGGUGAAAUUCGUAGAUAUCGAGAGGAACAUCGGUGGCGAAGGCGGCCUUCUGGACAGUGACUGACGCUGAGACGCGAAAGCGUGGGGAGCAAACAGG
rnacentral:rRNA from 1 species